UUUCCCUCAGCUGUUCAAUCCAACAUGAAUAGCUGCAAUUUGCAAAUUAGAGGAAAAUGACAGUGUUUUCUCUGAAUGGUUGUGGUCCCAACCCACACUAACAUUGGCAUUCAGUUCCUUUCUUCCCAGCCCAGGGAAUGGGGGAAUAAGGCAAGCUAUUUCUUUUGCUCACAAGAGCCUCAGGUUCACACACCAGAGGAAGAAUCAGCUCCCCCUGGAAUCUUUCUCAGCAAACACAGUCCUUCAGCCUGCUCUGCAAUUCCUCUCCUGACUUGAACAUUGCACUCUUUUUCAAACAGGCCCAUCUGCAGUACUACCAGUGCUCUGAGUUAAGAGAGGAACAGGCACCAAAAUAAUUUAAACAUGUGAAACACCAAAUAUGCCUUCGACCCCCGGGGCUCGGGGCUCACAGGGUUGCGAGUGGCCCUAGUGGUUCCCAGGUGAUCUCUGACUUCACUUUCUCCUGCAGCACUGCCCUCUUAAGUUGCCAGGCUUUAAGCUCAGACAGGAAGGACGUGCUUCUGGGUUUGGCUUACAAUAACCCAACCUCUUCCCAAAAGCAUCAUCUCAGAAUGAAGGCUGCCCCCAAAGCAUUUUUUGGGUUUGCAGAUAUCUAGGGACUCCCACAACAGCAUACUCCAGAAGUGUUAGGGAUGUUCAGAAGAUCAGAGGGGCCAUACCAGGCUGCAGCCUUGGGCAGGCACUUGUCCUUCUAGUGCACACACAAACUUCACACUCCUAGGUGCUGAUGUGGUGACAGUUUGAAUCUCAAAAGGAAUCCCCUUCAGAAACCCAACACCCUUUGGGAAAGCAUUUGGAAGGGAGCCAAUUCGUUAGAUAUGGGGAGCAUAAGGACACCAGGGUUAGCCAGAACAUCUAGAGAAGGGAUUAAUUGGGUUGGGGCACUACCCGGCAGGGAGAGAGCUGUGCAUUAGGAAAGGAUCAUCUCAAGACAGAGAUGAAAAAAAAAAAAACAAAACAAAAACAAAAACAAAAACAAACACACACACACAAAAAAAACACCUUGGGGGUGGGGGUAGAGAGGGAGAAACGAAUCAGAAACUGAAAGAGGGAGAGAGAAGAAGAAAAACACAAAGGAGGGAGAAAAAGAAAAAAAGAAAUAGAAAGACGGAGAAACAAGGAGAAGGGAACCCACAGUCACACAGACCCUGGAACUCAAUUUCUUAAAAUCCAAAAUGCAUCAGUUUAUACCCAAUGCAGCACGGGAGCCACGGGGCACAAAAUGCGGGAGCGGGCGGAGAGAGAGCACUGCAGUAGAACCCACCGCUCAGCUGCCCCGGAUCCGCCUUCCUCCCAUUUUCGCCGUUGCCCUCUGGCGCCCGGAGCAGGAGGGCGGCCGGCAUUGCUCAGCGCACCCUAGUGCCUCCCUCCAGGCGCCUUCUCGCCUGGCUCCGGGAAUCGUUUUCGGAGCAGAGGGAAGGGGUUGGGGGGCUGUGGUAGGGCGGUCGUGGGAAGGAUGGGCGGAGGGCGGAGGCAGCGAAAGCGAUUUUGUUUCGCAGUUAGCAUGAGCUCAUCUCUGGGCUCUGAAGUGGCAGGAGUAGAAAGCUGAUCGCCCAGCUCCUGCCAGUGGCCGGACUGCAAAUGCAAUUUAGACGGUGCAAACACUUGCCCAGAGCAAAUCACCCGGGGGUCACGUCUGCGGGUGGCAUCUCCCCACUUGGGGAGCUUCCCCGCGCCUUCCGCCCCAAAGCCCUCGCGGAGACAGGCUACAGGUCGGGAGAUCCAACCCGAGACAGAUGGGCAAUUGACAUCCACGCGUACAUUGCUUCUUGUAAAUGGGGCCAUAAAUCCAGGAUGUCAAGCCGGAUGGAGUGGAGCGCGGACAGGGGAGAGAUGGAAGGGAAAUGAACCAAGCAGGGAAGGUACCUCCUCGGGUGGGGUGGGAGGGAUUCGCAGGAUCUCCAGGGUGAAACUGCGAGAAGGCUGACCUGACCCCGCACCCCUGGAGUCCAAGCCAGCUUUUAGGAUUAAGAGCGCGGGGAGCUAAAGCGCGCUCUGCCCCGGAGGGAGCGCCUCCCUACCUGGAAGAGCCUCAGGAUGUUGGCUACCAUGAUGGAGACCGAACUCCCUGAAGCCCCAAUCACUCCAACUACUUUCUCCGGCUUGACGAAAACCGGAGGCUCGCCGUUGGUGCAGCGCACGUCGGAGGUGUCCUUCUGGAUGAGCGCCUGGACGAAAGUGAGCGACUGUUCGAGCGCGGCACUCCGCUAGGACCCUUGGCAUGCACCGGGAACAGCCCCCCGAGGGUGACGUCCCCCUCGAUCCGGAUAGAGUGCGGGGCGUACAUCUCCUGGCCGCGCGCCGCC